rnacentral:rRNA from 1 species
UACGGGGGGGGCAAGCGUUGUUCGGAAUUACUGGGCGUAAAGGGCUCGUAGGCGGCCAACUAAGUCAGACGUGAAAUCCCCGGGCUCAACCCGGGAACUGCGUCCGAUACUGGUGGGCUUGAAUCCGGGAGAGGGAUGUGGAAUUCCAGGUGUAGCGGUGAAAUGCGUAGAUAUCUGGAGGAACACCGGUGGCGAAGGCGGCAUCCUGGACCGGUAUUGACGCUGAGGCGCGAAAGCUAGGGGAGCAAACGGG